GGCCUGAUAGCACAGCGGGUAGUGCAGCUGCGUAGAUUAUCAAGUUCUCAGAUUUAUGCAGAACGUCCCUCGUUCGAUUCGGGGUCAGGUCA